rnacentral:tRNA from 1 species
ACUUUUAUUGGACAGCAGCCGUCC